rnacentral:lncRNA from 1 species
CAACAUCUAACAACCUUUCGCCAUAGCACAACAUCCUAAUAUAGAUUUCCUUUUUCCAAAGGAUAGCUAGACCUCCACUCCUACCAACAGGAGGGACCGAAAAAACAUUAUCAAACCCUAAGACAACAGCUUGAUCACUAACUACAUCACACUUACUAAUAGUUUCACAUAGAAAUAAGAUAUCAGGAGACUCAUCACGUACUAUCUCCUUCAACCGUGGUCCCUGACAAUUCCAACUGCAUAUCUUCAUGGAGACUGUGGGAGUACCGGGCCUCCCGCGCCUCUGUCUAUGUUGGUGCCAUCCUCAUCUGGAUCACCAUGAUCUUUCUUCUUCAGCGGAUUCAGGUCCUUUAUAUAUUUAGAACAUUAUUAGCAAAAUCUCUCUCAACUAUUGGUUAUAAGAAAAAA